UAUUUACUACGAAGGCAAAAGUCAUACAUAAACACAUGGCUAUGGACUCGCAAGUCACUACAAUGAAGCUACUUUUACUUCGAUUUUUAUUUUAUUUUUUUUGGCUUCUUUCUCUUCUCAUUUACUAAUUCUAAUUUACACUUCAGUAAAAAAAAUCACUGUUAUUCCCACUGUAAAACUAAGACUAGUUAUGGGGCAGUUGUCAUCCACCCCACAUUCACAUUUUCCCAAUCUCAAUUUCCAGAAAGGCCAAAUGUGAAUUCAAGAAAUGGAAAUGCAGAAUCCAUUUCCCAAUAAAUAAAUCCUUGUUGACAAACAUCCUCACCAUUUUCAAGAUCUCAUUUUUAUUUCCUCCCACAAAAUAAUCCCAAUUCUCACAAGAGCCUCUGCAGAUGCGGCGUCCGAUUCUUGGUGGGCUGCUCUUAAUCUUGUCAUUAUCACUCACCAUCACCGGAUUUCGCCACGCGGCGGCGGUGGAGGAGACGAUGGUGCCGGUGGCGGAGAUUAUGAUGGGGAGGAGGAAGUUGGGGGGGUUUCAGACAUGUGCUCUGUGCACUUGCUGCGGCGGCGGCGGGGGCGGAGGAGGCAGAAGCUACUGUUUGGCGACGCCAUGCUGCUAUGCGAUUAAUUGCAAUAUCCCAAACAGGCCCUUUGGAUUCUGCUCUUUCACUCCCAAGACUUGCAAUUGCUUUGGAUGCCAUCUCUAGGUUUUUGUAAUGUUGUAUUCAAGUGAGGAUUUGUUUUUGUUUGUUUCUAAUUCAGCUUUUUCCUGUGGUGUUUUGUUUUUGUUUGAGAUUUUUUUUAGGAAGAAAGCUAAGUUAGAGACAGUGUGGAAGUGGCAUUGGGAUUAACGGUAAUGUUGUCUUGUUUAAGAAUCAAGUGGAUAAAAUCAUGUAGGGAGGCAGAGCAUUAGUUAUUUCUUAAUUUCAUUCUAUAUUCAAUAGUAUUCUCUUUGUGACUA